rnacentral:rRNA from 1 species
GAUGAACGCUGGCGGCGUGCCUAAUACAUGCAAGUCGAGCGAACGGACGAGAAGCUUGCUUCUCUGAUGUUAGCGGCGGACGGGUGAGUAACACGUGGAUAACCUACCUAUAAGACUGGGAUAACUUCGGGAAACCGGAGCUAAUACCGGAUGAUAUUUUGAACCGCAUGGUUCAAAAGUGAAAGACGGUCUUGCUGUCACUUAUAGAUGGAUCCGCGCUGCAUUAGCUAGUUGGUAAGGUAAUGGCUUACCAAGGCAACGAUGCAUAGCCGACCUGAGAGGGUGAUCGGCCACACUGGAACUGAGACACGGUCCAGACUCCUACGGGAGGCAGCAGUAGGGAAUCUUCCGCAAUGGGCGAAAGUCUGACGGAGCAACGCCGCGUGAGUGAUGAAGGUCUUCGGAUCGUAAAACUCUGUUAUUAGGGAAGAACAUAUGUGUAAGUAACUGUGCACAUCUUGACGGUACCUAAUCAGAAAGCCACGGCUAACUACGUG